AGAGUUGAUCAUGGCUCAGGACGAACGCUGGCGGCGUGCCUAACACAUGCAAGUCGAGCGAGGAGAUCCUUCGGGAUGAUCCUAGCGGCGGACGGGUGAGUAACACGUGGGCAACCUGCCUCAUAGAGAGGAAUAGCCUUCCGAAAGGGAGAUUAAUACCUCAUAACAUUGCAGUUUCGCAUGGAACAGCAAUUAAAGGAGUAAUCCGCUAUGAGAUGGGCCCGCGGCGCAUUAGCUAGUCGGUGAGGUAAUGGCUCACCAAGGCGACGAUGCGUAGCCGACCUGAGAGGGUGAUCGGCCACAUUGGGACUGAGACACGGCCCAGACUCCUACGGGAGGCAGCAGUGGGGAAUAUUGCACAAUGGGGGAAACCCUGAUGCAAGCAACGCCGCGUGAGUGAUGACGGCCUUCGGGUUGUAAAGCUCUGUCUUCAGGGACGAUAAUGACGGUACCUGAGGAGGAAGCCACGGCUAACUACGUGCCAGCCGCUGC
rnacentral:rRNA from 1 species